CAACUGUUGAUUUGGACAGGCAGUAGUUCCGUUCAGUGACAAUACAUCUGUCAUGGAAAUAUCAUCAGGCUGAUGAGUACCCACAUUCCAGCCACGAUCAGGUUUCUUGACAGUUGUUAAUCCAAAAAUUAGCGAAUAACGAAUAUGCUAUUACUAAUACUAUGUUACUGCUGUUUUUUUUUCUGUCAAAUUUAAUGCUUUGUGUUUUACUGGCCUUCAAUUUUAGUGGUUGCAGCAUCCAGAAAAUCUACGUAUAUUUUAUAGUAUUUAACUUUAAGAAUACCGUUAAAUGGGAAUACACAUCCGGUUCAGCAGCUGGUUCUAAUAUGAUUCAAAUAAAUAAAAAACAAAACAAAAUUAUUUACUAAUUAAAUUAUCAAAA